rnacentral:rRNA from 1 species
UUGAUGAAGAGUUUGAUCCUGGCUCAGGAUUAACGCUGGCGGUGUGUCUAAUACAUGCAAGUCGAGCGAGGCUUCGAGCCGAGCGGCGGACGAGCGAGUAACACGUUAGUACCUGCCCCGAACUCAGGGAUAACUUCUAGAAAUAGAAGCUAAUACCGGAUAGUCCCGAAAGGGUAAAGUUUUUUCGGUUCGGGAGGGGCUUGCGGCCUAUCAGCUUGUUGGUGAGGUAAUGGCUCACCAAGGCUAUGACGGGUAACUGGUCUGAGAGGAUGAUCAGUCGCGAUGGGACUGAGACACGGCCCAUACUCCUACGGGAGGCAGCAGUAGGGAAUCUUCCACAAUGGGCGAAAGCCUGAUGGAGCAACACCGCGUGAUCGAUGACGCCCCUUGGGGUGUAAAGAUCUUUUCUGAGGGAAGAAUUCUGACGGUACCUCAGGAAUAAGCACCGGCUAACUCUGUGCCAGCAGCCGCGGUAAUACAGAGGGUGCAAGCGUUAUCCGGAAUUAUUGGGCGUAAAGCGUCCGCAGGUGGUUUGUUAAGUCGAGUAUUAAAGACGGCAGCUCAACUGUCGGAAUGUAUUCGAUACUGGCAAGCUAGAGUCUUGGAGGGGUGAGCAGAAUUCUGCAUGUAGGGGUAAAAUCCGUAGAUAUGCAGAGGAAUACCAAAAGCGAAGGCAGCUCACUGGCCAAGUACUGACACUCAUGGACGAAAGCGUGGGGAGCAAACAGGAUUAGAUACCCUGGUAGUCCACGCCGUAAACAAUGGAUACUCGGUGUUGGGUCUCUCAACCGGACUCAGUGCCUAAGUUAACACGAUAAGUAUCCCGCCUGGGGAGUACGGUCGCAAGAUUAAAACUCAAAGGAAUAGACGGGGACCCACACAAGCGGUGGAGCAUCUGGUUUAAUUCGAUAAUAAGCGAGGAACCUUACCUAGGCUUGACAUCUCUGGAAUCUUGCAGAAAUGCGAGAGUGCCUUUGGAACCAGAAGACAGGUGCUGCAUGGUUGUCGUCAGCUCGUGCCUUGAGGUGUUCGGUUAAGUCCGUAAACGAGCGCAACCCAUGUCCUGUGUUGUAUUUUUCACAGGAGACUGCCGGCUUCAAGUCGGAGGAAGGUAUGGAUGACGUCAAAUCAGCAUGGCCCUUAUGCCUAGGGCUACACAGGUGCUACAAUGGUCGGUACAACGGGCAGCCAAGCAGUAAUGCGGAGCCAAUCCCACAAAACCGAUCUUAGUUCGAAUUGAGGGCUGCAACUCGCCCUCAUGAAGUCGGAAUCGCUAGUAAACGUGUAUCAGCAAUGGCGCGUUGAAUAUGUUCCUGGGUCUUGUACUCACCGCCCGUCAAGUCAUGAAAGGUGGGGGCGCCCGAAGUCCCAUGUAAAUGGGCCUAAGGCGAAAUCACUGAUUGGGACUAAGUCGUAACAAGGUAUCCGUAGGAGAACCUGCGGAUGGACCACCUCCUUU